rnacentral:rRNA from 1 species
AUUGAACGCUGGCGGCAGGCCUAACACAUGCAAGUCGAACGAGUGGCGGACGGGUGAGAAAUGUCUGGGAAACUGCCUUAUGGAGGGGGAUAACUACUGGAAACGGUAGCUAAUACCGCAUAGCAUCCGCUGUGCCCAGAUGGGAUUAGCUUGUUGGUGGGGUAACGGCUCACCAAGGCGACGAUCCCUAGCUGGUCUGAGAGGGUGACCGGCCACACUGGAACUGAGACACGGUCCAGACUCCUACGGGAGGCAGCAGUGGGGAAUAUUGCACAAUGGGCGCAAGCCUGACGCAGCAAUGCCGCGUGUGUGAAGAAGGCCUUCGGGUUGUAAAGCACUUUCAGCGGGGAGGCGGUACCCGAAGAAGAAGCACCGGCUAACUCCGUGCCAGCAGCCGCGGUAAUAC